AACGAACGCUGGCGGCGUGCCUGAGACAUGCAAGUCGUGGGAGAAAGUCGGAGCAAUCCGGCUAGUAAACCGGCGCACGGGUGAGUAACACGUGGACAACCUGCCUUGGAGUUCGGGAUAACCCGUCGAAAGACGGACUAAUACCGGAUAUGACCACGGGGAGGUUCGCUCUCUGAGGUAAAAGAUGGCCUCUGCUCCUGCAAGCUAUCUCUUCGA
rnacentral:rRNA from 1 species